GGCCUCCAUCUUGAAAACGGAAAAUAAAAACAGCAGACCUAUGAAGGUCGAAGGGGAAGAAAAGCUGUAUCGAUUGUUGAGAUCUGGCGACUUGUUUAAAUUUCAUCAGCCUCACUUCUAUGAACUCUCAGGCCUCACGUGUACCAGCUCUCUGCUCUCCUUUGCCUUGGGACGUUCCAUCCCUGGAAGUUUCCCUGCCCACAUCUUUGUAGAGAGUCCAUUCUCCAAGCUUCAGUGUGUCAUCUGUGAGGACCGUGACCCACCUGGUACAUCGCCUCAGGGCAUUCAUUUCAGGCUCCUUCUAAAUGGCCAAGAGACAACACCAACAUUUUUGUAAUGGCCUGCAAGGCCUUCCGAGAUCUACCUCCUGCAACUCAGCUUCUCCUGUGCUCUCCUUCUGGACUCACUCUGCCUCAGCAACACUGGUCCCUGUUGCCCCACCAAUAUGCCAGGUAAACCUCAGGUUCUCCUCCUGCCUUUUGCUAAGUAUAUGUCUUGAUGACAAGCCUUCUGCUGAUGAGCUGUGUUUCUGGACCGAUCAUGGUAGAAGUCAAUUAACGUGUCCCUCACUUGGGGUUUCUCAAGGCUGCACUGAUGAGGAAACUGAAACAGAAAAUCCAGAGUAAAUUCCACCAGGCCACACAGCAAGGUCUGAUAGAGCCAGGAGAGACUUUAUGAAAUCCAGACUCUCACACUAAUGCUCUAUCAGCUAGACCUCCAUGUGAGUCUCCCCAAUGUAGGUAGGAAGUGCUUUCCC
rnacentral:lncRNA from 1 species